rnacentral:lncRNA from 1 species
GCUGGAGUGGGUGUGGUUGACGCUGGAGGGCAGCCUCUGAGCAGCUCCCCCAGGACGGAAGCGAAGGCUGCAGGCGGGGCUUGGGUCAGGCUCCUGGGAGAAGCAGUGACGAGGCUGGGUGCCUGCAGGAAGACCCUCAGCUGGCUGCAUGUUCAGCCCUGCAGAGUUAGAACUUUAAGUUUGGAGACUCUUCUUAAAUUUCACUGAAGUGGAGUGAGAACUGAAGUGGUGGCAAAAAAGGAUGCUCAGGGCACUGCACAUGAGAGAGAAGUCUCAACAGCUGCAGAGGAACCUCCACUUCCCUCCCUCUUCUGCCCCAUCCUCCCUGCAUCUACUGGCUGCCCAGCGCUUGUUCUGCUUUUUUCAGACACGACUCAGCUCAGGGAGCAGGAUCGGGGAAAGGAGCCCUCCUGCCUAACCCUCAACGCAGAAAGAGCAGCGGCUGCGCCAGGACUCCCCAUGAAGUGAAGUGGAAACGAUUUCACAGCAAAUGGGGUGGAUGGCCAGGGGCUCCUGUCAGGUCUGAGACCCGGGGCCGGGAGUGGGCUGGGCAUGUGAGCAGGGCCCCAAACCAUGGGCAUUGGUUCCUGCUUCCUCUACUGUUUCUAUUUUGGCACCUGCUUGAAAGCAGUUCUUCAUCAUCUGGCUAGAUUGUCACAGUUUGGGGUAAAAGAGAAAUAAAACAGGCAACUUCUAUUUCAAUCUGUUCUUGCUGCUGCUUCUAACCGCUGCUUUGUUUGCGCAGUGGGUGGGAUGCACAGGGGCCCUCCAAACUCCAAUCUUGACGUGCCCGCGGGGGCUUUGUGGGAGGCUCCUGCUAACCAGGUUUGGGAAAACCACCAGGCAGUCCUGGCAGUCUGGGCAAGGCCAGGGCUUCCAAGGAAAGAGAAAUGUCUAAGACUUCCUAAUGAGUGUAUUUCUGUGCGCUUAGCUGUGUUCUUG